rnacentral:lncRNA from 1 species
GAACAUGAUGGUUUGAGAAAAAAGUCUAACUAGGGUUGCAGGAACAUAUAUUGGGGGUGUAGUGAGCAAAUUUAAAUACUUUUUGUCCUUAAUGGUAAUUAUGUACAAGGGUAAAAUAGGUUGUUCAUGUUUAAAAUUAGUAUGAGGUGCAAAGAGCAAAUAAUUGGGUGCCAAUAAAAUCACCCUUUUUAUUUUCCUAUCCACUUUAUAAUUUGUAAAUUAAAUAAGUUUAUUCUACUAAACAAUAAAAAAUAAAAAAAAAAGUUAAAUAGUAUGUAUAAAAAUUAAUGAUCCAUAUACUAUUACGAAUCAAUACUCAAAUGUCAUGUGAUUGCCCCUGAAUCAAUGAUCUAUAUACUAUUAAGAGGAGAUGUAGAAGGUUUAGAAGUAUUUGAGACACAAUAUGUGGUACAUGCAGACGCCAUAGAAGACAGGCAAAAGCGAAUUAUUUGAAACUGCUAGAACUUAUAUGAGUAGUCUUAAAGUUGAUGAGACAAGUUUGCCACUACUAAGAGUAUUUUCACUCAUUUGCCAUAGCAAAGGCAAGGGAAGGCAAAGGCUAUUGCUAUUCACAUGAAUAGUACCUGCCCUAGCAAUUUUUUUGUUGGUUUUCCACUCAUUGUCAUGGCAACCCAAGGGCAACCACUAUUCACAUGAGAUAUGAGGAGAGGAAUUUGUAUAGAGUUUUGGUGUGAGAAGUGAAGAAUAUGGCUAGGUAUUUAUUUAAAAAAAAAUCUAAAAUUUUGGUUUUUUUUUUUUCCUUCAAUUUUUUUGUUAUUUAAAUUAGCUACUGACAUCACAAUGACUUUAACAUUAGGUUAGCUUGCCCAGGCAAGUCUUACCUUUGGGCGUGCCCAGGUUGGUGGAGCUCAUCUCUUGCCCUAACAAGAAUGGGGUACUGGAAACACGAAUAGGGGCCUGGGGGCCUCUUACUGGGACUAGCGCCUCCUGCUAGAAAUACUCUAACAUGGGAAGGAUCCCCUAAUAUGAAUAUCCAAUCAAGUUAGAACAAUGGUUUUUAGAGUGUCGAGCACCCCACAAUGAGUGCAUUUUCGUUCAAAGCAUGUUGUUGAGUCCUUACUUUGAAAAGAGACAUCAAGAGAGUUUUGUGGUCUUUGGGUCGCUAAGCCACCAUGAUCGGUGGUUCUUGCAAAUAUGUAGAACCAUUCAUGGUCAUUCUCUAAUGGGCAUGUUGACGAACAUAUGCAAAAUUGAUAUCAAGAUCCAAUUUAGGGUCUUUGCACAAGAUUUCACCACAAACCUAGUCAAACUUGGGACGAAUAAUGACCUAGGUGGGAUUCAAGAAGAAGAUAACAUUGAUGACAUGAAACAAGUAACUUGCGAGCCAAGUUGAAGCUCCUUACUUGGUUAAGGUGGAGGAGGAGCGUCGUGCUGUAAAAGGUGAAUUCGAUGAAUUGUUAGCCACUGGAGACAACGGUCCCUAGAAUUUUGGCUUCAGAUGUGAGAUAAAAAUUUUAGAUUCUUCCCCACCAAAAGGCUUCGAUUAGAAAGAAGUGUUUGCCCUAAAACUUGACAUGAGUAAAGCUUAUGUCCACAUGGAGUGGACAUUUUUGGAGAAGAUGAUGAUGGUGCUUGGCUUCCCUAUGCCGUAAAUUUGUCAAUGGAUUAGGUUUUGAUUCGAUUCUGAUCAAAAUCCAAUGAAAUUAAUAGGCUUUGCUUCAUCUUC